GAAAAGAAAAUAGUUCAGCACUAAGUCAUUUUGUCUUUAUGGCAAAUAUGAGAUGCAGUGUAUGGAACAUCUAUAAUCUAGUAUGAAAAAUUAACGAUUUAAGUCCUUCUUAAAUGAGGCCAUUUACCCAUAGAGGGUGCCAGGCCCGUAUAACGUUAAUGAUUACUAGAAGAUGAUUCCAAAGAGUCGUGUUGCUUGAUAGUGCAGCACUAAGUGGGUGGUAAACUCCAUCUAAAGCUAAAUAUAACCAUGAGACCGAUAGUAAACAAGUACCGUGAGGGAAAGUUGAAAAGAACUCUGAAUAGAGAGUUAAAUAGUACGUGAAACUGCUUAGAGGUUAAGCCCGAUGAACCUGAAUAUCCAUUAUGGAAAAUACAACAUUAUGAAUAUAAUAUAUUAAUAAUAUUAUGGAAAUAGUGUGCAUUUUUUCUAUAUAAGGACAUUGUAAUCUAUUAACAUAUAAUAUAUAUUUAUCAUAAAAUCAUUAAGAUUUAAGUUUAUUCAAAUUAAUAUUCUUUUUUGUAUAUUAAUGUCGAAUAAAUUCUUAUGAUUUGAUAAAGUGUUGAUAGAUUGAUUAUAUAUAGUGCUUAAAUUCUUUUAGAAUUUUGUAAUAAUAUAAUUAUCUUAUGAUUUUUAUAUUUAUUAAAUGCGCUAAUAUGAUUAACAAUGCGAUAGAUUCAGGAUACCUUCGGGACCCGUCU
rnacentral:rRNA from 1 species